CCCUACUCAUGGUGCAUCUCAGAGCCUAUGGAUCUAUUUAAUUUUCUUCCAAAUUCCCAAUUUUGAGGUGCUAUGGAUUCAAUAGUUUAAGAAAUAUAGACCUAGAAACCUAAUUAUGAGUUCUUAAAUCAUGAUGAUUUUACAUUUUAAAAAAUUCUAGGGGCAGUUGGGUGGCUCAGUGGAUUGAGUCAGACCCAGAAACAGGAGGUCCUGGGUUCAAAUCUGGCCUCAGAUACUUCCUAGCUGUGUGAUCCUGGGCAAGUCACUUCACCCAUUGCCUAGCCCUUACUGCUCUUCUUCCAUGGAGCUAAUACACAGUAUUGGUUCCAAGACAGAAGAUGAGGGUUUAAAAAAAAUUUACUCUUUUCUCUUUCUCCUCCUUUCAUCCUCCCAACACAACAAAAAACCAAAAAUGAAAACAGCAAUAUUGUAUUAACUUUCAUUUGGAUUUCUUAUUCAUGAACAGAGAAAACUGAAAGGUUUACUUCUACCCCAGGAUCCUUUGGAUACAAACACUAUACAGGACUUAGGUUUGAAGACAUUCUAAGCCCAAACAAUCUAGAAAUUCCAUGGAAUGUUCCUUCUGAGGAAAUGUGGUAUAGGGGGAGGAAAAGUCCUGAACUGAGAGUUAAAUGACCUGGAUUGCAAUUAUGACUCUAUCCUCCAAAGGAAAGGUGGCCCUGAGCAGAGAGCUGAAUAAACUGUCUCAAGAGCUAGAGAUGUGUUAAGAAAAGGACUGGUCAUGCCACAGAUUUCCUGAGUCAACACAAACCACGUCAGAAGUCAGACACAGUCUGAGACCUUCCACAUUCCAGCUGAGAGAUGUUCAUAGAGUUCCAAAGAUAUUAUAGCUAGAGGUUUAAUGUGUAAAUAAGUAAACAUUCCUCAGGAGAUGGGGCACAAGCUUCUCCUUAGGUGUUAGUAGGGUCAAUGACAUGGUUAAUGAUGCCAUAUAAAGUACCAUCACAUCACCAUGACAUCACAAUAAAGCCUCAGAAAGAGAAUGACAUGAGUCGAAUGAUCUCAUUUCAGGUCUACCAUCUUCUUCUGCCUUAUGACAUGUUCCCAGAUACAGAGGCAAAAUCUCCAAUGGAAUCUCUUUGCCCAGAAGUUUUCAAGCAAAGGCUGGCUGACCACUUUAGGGGGGCGUCCUGGGGAUACUCUUGACUAAGUUCGAUUUGGACUAGGUAAGUUGCAGAUAUAUUUGCAUAUCUAAAAUGUAACCCAAUGUCACCUCUUUCAGAAAAAAUCUAGGUUACUAGAAAAAUAACCCAGUAAAUAAAAAAAGGCAAAUUCAGACUUGUUAAAGUACU
rnacentral:lncRNA from 1 species